AAACUUUGGAGAAGUCCGCUUUUCGAAUGCGGGUGCCGAAGGGGCAAAACGCGCCGCGUUAAUCUCUCAGGCAAAAGGACAAAGU
rnacentral:ncRNA from 1 species